rnacentral:rRNA from 1 species
GACGAACGCUGGCGGCGUGCUUAACACAUGCAAGUCGAACGGAAAGGCCCCUUUGGGGGUACUCGAGUGGCGAACGGGUGAGUAACACGUGAGUAACCUGCCCUUGACUUCGGGAUAACUUCCGGAAACUUGGGCUAAUACCGGAUCGGAAUCCUUGCUGCAUGGUGGGGGUUGGAAAGCUUCGGCGGUUUUGGAUGGACUCACGGCUUAUCAGCUUGUUGGUGGGGUAGUGGCUUACCAAGGCUUUGACGGGUAGACGGCCUGAGAGGGCGACCGGCCACACUGGGACUGAGAGAAGGCCCAGACGCCGAAGGGAGGCAGAAGGGGGGAAGAUUGAACAAGGGGCGGAAGCCGGAUGCAGAAAGGCCGCGUGCGGGAGGACGGCCUUCGGGUUGUAAAACGCGUUCAGCAGGGGCGAAGCGUGUGGUGACGGUACCUGCAGAAGAAGCACCGGCUAACUACGUG